rnacentral:rRNA from 1 species
CGCACAGUAAACGAUGAAUACUAACUGUUUGCGAUACACAGCAAGUGGUACAGUGAAAACGUUAAGUAUUCCACCUGGGGAGUACGCCGGCAACGGUGAAACUCAAAGGAAUUGACGGGG